rnacentral:rRNA from 1 species
UACGGAGGGGGCGAGCGUUGUCCGAAGUUACUGGGCGUAAAGCGCGCGUAGGCGGGUGGGUAAGUCCGCUGUGAAAGCCCGGAGCUUAACUCCCGGGAGGGUCGGUGGAUACUGCCCAUCUUGAAGGUGCUAGGGGGAGAUGGGAAUUACCGGUGUAGCGGUGAAAUGCGUAGAGAUGUGGAGGAACACCGAUGGCGAAGGCAGCCUCCUGGGCCAGCACUGACGCUCAUGCACGAAAGCGUGGGGAGCAAACAGG